rnacentral:pre_miRNA from 7 species
UCCAGGCUCAGGACAGCCACUGCCCACCGCACACUGCGUUGCUCCGGACCCACUGUGCGUGUGACAGCGGCUGAUCUGUCCCUGGGCAGCGCGAAC